rnacentral:rRNA from 1 species
CGCGGCCUAUCAGCUUGUUGGUGGGGUAGUGGCCUACCAAGGCGACGACGGGUAGCCGGCCUGAGAGGGCGACCGGCCACACUGGGACUGAGAUACGGCCCAGACUCCUACAGGAGGCAGCAGUGGGGAAUAUUGCACAAUGGGCGCAAGCCUGAUGCAGCGACGCCGCGUGAGGGAUGACGGCCUUCGGGUUGUAAACCUCUUUCAGCAGGGAAGAAGCGAAAGUGACGGUACCUGCAGAAGAAGCGCCGGCUAACUACGUGCCAGCAGCCGCGGUAAUACGUAGGGCGCAAGCGUUGUCCGGAAUUAUUGGGCGUAAAGAGCUCGUAGGCGGUUUGUCGCGUCUGCUGUGAAAACCUGAGGCUCAACCUUGGGCUUGCAGUGGGUACGGGCAGACUAGAGUGCGGUAGGGGUGACUGGAAUUCCUGGUGUAGCGGUGGAAUGCGCAGAUAUCAGGAGGAACACCGAUGGCGAAGGCAGGUCACUGGGCCGCAACUGACGCUGAGGAGCGAAAGCAUGGGGAGCGAACAGGAUUAGAUACCCUGGUAGUCCAUGUCGUAAACGUUGGGCACUAGGUGUGGGGCUCAUUCCACGAGUUCCGUGCCGCAGCAAACGCAUUAAGUGCCCCGCCUGGGGAGUACGG